rnacentral:rRNA from 1 species
GGUGAACGCUGGCGGCGUGCUUAAGACAUGCAAGUCGAACGGCAGUCUUCGGACUGUAGUGGCGCACGGGUGAGUAACGCGUAACUGACCUACCCCAAAGUCGCGGAUAACGAUUCGAAAGAAUCGCUAAUACGUGAUGUGCUGUCAGAUUGUGUUCUGCCAGUAAAGAUUGAUUGCUUUGGGAUGGGGUUGCGUUCCAUCAGCUAGUUGGUGGGGUAAAGGCCCACCAAGGCGACGACGGAUAGCCGGCCUGAGAGGGUGGCCGGCCACAGGGGAACUGGGACACGGGUCCCACUCCUACGGGAGGCAGCAGUUAGGAAUCUUCCACAGUGGGCGAAAGCCUAGUGGGGCGACGCCGCGUGAGGGAUGAAGGUCUUCGGAUCGUAAACCUCUGAAUCAGGGACGAAAGACACUUCGGUGGGAUGACGGUACCCGAGUAAUAGCACCGGCUAACUCCGUGCCAGCCGCCGCCGUAACAC